AAGAGAUACUUAAUAUUGUAGAAGGAUAACGAACUUACAAAAAAGCAAGGCCAUGAUGAUGAGGAUCUUCGAUACUCUUUUUUUUUUUUUUGCGUCAUUUGUGUGCCUUUGUCUUAGUCUGUUUCUGAAUUCCAAACAAACACGAAGGGGGACAAG
rnacentral:ribozyme from 1 species